AUGAAUAAUAAAAUGUAUUUUGGUAGAUAUAUAAAAUGUUCAAUUUCUAUAUCUAUAUUAUAUACAACUCCAAUCUAUUGGCAAAAAAAUGUGCAUAGAUUGAGGGCAAAGAACUCUAAAAAAAGUGAAAAAAUUUAGGAGGGACGGGAUUACAUUUUUUGUUUGAUUUCAUCAAAAAAGUAGACAACUUGGCCUUCUAUUAUGGCGGGAAAAUGUCCACGGAGUCCCUAGUCUCAUAUAAAGCCCUAACUCGUCUUCAAGACCCACAUAAUCUCAACCCUCCUCACUCCUCUCUGCGAUCACCUUCUCUAUUGUUUUCACCGAUAAAUUGGUGCCCUAACAUGUCUCGAAAAGCCAUGUUCGACCUCUUUUCUCGACGAAUAUAGGUUUUUUUGGCUCUGUACAACAGUCCUCAUCAGUUGUUUCGGGUUUGUUCAAUCGAAUUUGGGGCUUUCACUGAGAAAAUUUGUUUUUUGAUCUCAUUUGGAUAAAAAUGGCUGAUGUGUUUGAAGAGGAAGCUGAAGCUGAGCCCACGGUUUCAAUCCACGAGUACCUCAAGGAUGUUGAGGAUCAGGAAUUGAGGAUUGCUGAAUGUUUAAAGGUCACUUGGUUUACUAUGGUUUGCGACAGCUUCUAAUGCUUACUGCACUAUGAAACAAGCUAGUUUGUUCAAUUGUAUAUGGAUGAUCAAAUACUUAAUGGUUCUGUUUCUGGUUAGUUUGUUCAAUUGUACGAGAAUCCUAAGGCCCUAUUAAUGUGUUGUCAGCUCAAGUUAACAAAUUUUAUCCCAAUUACAUGGACCCAUUUGGCUUUA